rnacentral:rRNA from 1 species
UACGUAGGUGGCAAGCGUUGUCCGGAUUUACUGGGUGUAAAGGGCGUGCAGCCGGAGAGACAAGUCAGAUGCGAAAUCCACGGGCUCAACCCGUGAACUGCAUUUGAAACUGUUUCCCUUGAGUGUCGGAGAGGUAAUCGGAAUUCCUUGUGUAGCGGUGAAAUGCGUAGAUAUAAGGAAGAACACCAGUGGCGAAGGCGGAUUACUGGACGAUAACUGACGGUGAGGCGCGAAAGCGUGGGGAGCAAACAGG